rnacentral:misc_RNA from 1 species
GAUGAAGAACGUAGCGAAAUGCGAUACGUAAUGUGAAUUGCACAAUUCAGUGAAUCAUCGAGUCUUUGAACGCACAUUGCGCCCCCUGGUAUUCCGGGGGGCAUGCCUGUCCGAGCGUCAUUGCUGCCCUCAAGCACGGCUUGUGUGUUGGGCCUCCGCCCCCCGGCUCCCGGGGGGCGGGCCCGAAAGGCAGCGGCGGCACCGCGUCCGGUCCUCGAGCGUAUGGGGCUUCGUCACCCGCUCCGUAGGCCCGGCCGGCGCCCGCCGGCGACCCCCCUCAAUCUUUCCAGGUUGACCUCGGAUCAGGUAGGGAUACCCGCUGAACUUAAGCAUAUCAAUAAGCGGAGGA